AGUCACACCAGUCACACCAGUAACCCCACCAGUCACACCAGUAUGGGCCGGCUGCGGGGAUCCCAGUCACACCAGUAACACCAGGUGAGCCAUCCCAGUCACACCAGUCACACCAGUAACCCCACCAGUCACACCAGUAUGGGCCGGCUGCGGGGAUCCCAGUCACACCAGUAACACCAGGUGCCGAAAAUUCCGGAAAAAUCAAAAAUUCCAAGAAAAAUCUUCGGAAUUGUGGGAAAAAUCUUCGGAAUUUUGGGGAAAAUCUUCGGAAUUUUGGGGGAAAUCUUUGGAAUUUUGGGGAAAAUCUUUUCAAUUCCGGGAAAAAUCUUCGGAAUUUGGGGGAAAUCUUUAGAAUUUGGGAAAAAUCUUCGGAAUUUUGGGAAAAAUCUUCGGAAUUUGGGAAAAAUCUUCAGAAAUUUGGGAAAAAUCUUCGGAAUUUUGGGGGAAAUCUUCAGAAUUUUGGGAAAAAUCUUCAGAAUUUUGGGGGAAAUCUUUGGAAUUUUGGGAAAAUCUUUGGAAUUUGUGGAGAAAUCUUCGGAAUGCUGGAAAAAUCUUCAGAAAUUUGGGAAAAAUCUUUGGAAUUUUGGGGGAAUCUUUGGAAUUUGGGGGGAAACCUUCGGAAUUCUGGAAAAAUCUUCAGAAAUUUGGGAAAAAUCUUUGGAAUUUUGGGGGAAUCUUUGGAAUUUGGGGGGAAAUCUUCAGAAUUUUGGGAAAAAUCAUCGGAAAUUUGGGGAAAAUCUUCAGCAUUUUGGGAAAUAUCUUCGGAAUUUUGAGGAAAAUCUUCGGAAUUUUGGGAAAAAUCUUCGGAAUUUGGGGAUUUUUGCCACCCCUCCCCCCGGGGAGAUCAAUAAAGGAAGGCGAGCUC